AGAGUUUGAUCAUGGCUCAGAACGAACGCUGGCGGCACGUUUUAAGCAUGCAAGUCGAACGGUAGUCCCGCUUUCGGGUGGGAUGAGAGUGGCGGACGGGUGAGUAACACGUGGGUGACCUGCCCCGAAGUGGGGGAUAAUCCUUCGAAAGGGGGACUAAUCCCGCAUGUGCUCCGUGAGGUUAGAGAACCACGGAGUAAAGCUCCGGCGCUUUGGGAGGGGCCUGCGGCCGAUUAGCUAGUUGGUGGGGUAAUGGCUCACCAAGGCGAUGAUCGGUAGCUGGUCUGAGAGGACGAUCAGCCACACUGGCACUGAGACACGGGCCAGACUCCUACGGGAGGCAGC
rnacentral:rRNA from 1 species